UCUUGCGAGUGUUCACCGUAUGUUUUCAGCUUAAGGGAAAGGGUAUAAGGCAGGCGACAUGCUGCGAUACACAAAUUGACUGUUUGUGACUGUUGCUGUUGCUGUCAUUGUCAACAUGGUCGACUGUCAAAAUAAUUAACGAAUUGAAGUAACAUGCCAACUUGUGGAACAGAGAAGGGGCAAGGGAUAGGGGAGGAGGGGUAACGGACACCGCUGAGACACUGUGGGCCAUCGUAUUAGCGAGGAACUAAAAGAGUUAAUAAGCUGGCUGUAUGAAGGGACUUGCUUGGCGUCUGCUGAUAAGCAUCUCGGCAACAAUUUCGCACAUGACCAAUGCAUGGUGAUUGCAACAGCUAACUGAAAUGCUGCUGACAUAGAUAAAAAAAAAGCAACGCAACACAGUAAGAAACAAGUAUUUUUUGUUUGUUAUAUCAAUGAAGAAUUAUUAUGGCAUAGUCGACGAUAGCGUUGCCCUUCGGCAUUUUUCGUCUCUUA